AUGAACGCUGGCGGCGUGCCUAAUACAUGCCAGUCGCGCGAACAGACGAGGAGCUUGCUCCUCUGACGUUAGCGGCGGACGGGUGAGUAACACGUGGAUAACCUACCUAUAAGACUGGGAUAACUUCGGGAAACCGGAGCUAAUACCGGAUAAUAUAUUGAACCGCAUGGUUCAAUAGUGAAAGACGGUUUUGCUGUCACUUAUAGAUGGAUCCGCGCCGCAUUAGCUAGUUGGUAAGGUAACGGCUUACCAAGGCAACGAUGCGUAGCCGACCUGAGAGGGUGAUCGGCCACACUGGAACUGAGACACGGUCCAGACUCCUACGGGAGGCAGCAGUAGGGAAUCUUCCGCAAUGGGUGAAAGCCUGACGGAGCAACGCCGCGUGAGUGAUGAAGGUCUUCGGAUCGUAAAACUCUGUUAUUAGGGAAGAACAAAUGUGUAAGUAACUAUGCACGUCUUGACGGUACCUAAUCAGAAAGCCACGGCUAACUACGUG
rnacentral:rRNA from 1 species